GACGAACGCUGGCGGCGUGCUUAACACAUGCAAGUCGAACGGAAAGGCCCUGCUUUUGUGGGGUGCUUGAGUGGCGAACGGGUGAGUAACACGUGAGUAACCUGCCCUUGACUUUGGGAUAACUUCAGGAAACUGGGGCUAAUACCGGAUAGGAGCUCCUGCUGCAUGGUGGGGGUUGGAAAGUUUCGGCGGUUGGGGAUGGACUCGCGGCUUAUCAGCUUGUUGGUGGGGUAGUGGCUUACCAAGGCUUUGACGGGUAGCCGGCCUGAGAGGGUGACCGGCCACAUUGGGACUGAGAUACGGCCCAGACUCCUACGGGAGGCAGCAGGGGGGAAUAUUGCACAAUGGGCGGAAGCCUGAUGCAGCAACGCCGCGUGCGGGAUGACGGCCUUCGGGUUGUAAACCGCUUUCGCCUGUGACGAAGCGUGAGUGACGGUAAUGGGUAAAGAAGCACCGGCUAACUACGU
rnacentral:rRNA from 1 species